rnacentral:rRNA from 1 species
UGCAAGUCGAACGAUGAAGCCUAGCUUGCUGGGUGGAUUAGUGGCGAACGGGUGAGUAACACGUGAGUAACCUGCCCUUCACUCUGGGAUAACUCCGGGAAACCGGUGCUAAUACUGGAUAUGACUCCAACCUGCAUGGGUAUGGGGUGGAAAGAUUUAUCGGUGGAGGAUGGACUCGCGGCCUAUCAGCUUGUUGGUGGGGUAAUGGCCUACCAAGGCGACGACGGGUAGCCGGCCUGAGAGGGUGACCGGCCACACUGGGACUGAGACACGGCCCAGACUCCUACGGGAGGCAGCAGUGGGGAAUAUUGCACAAUGGGCGAAAGCCUGAUGCAGCGACGCCGCGUGAGGGAUGACGGCCUUCGGGUUGUAAACCUCUUUCAGCUCUGACGAAGCCUUCGGGUGACGGUAGGAGCAGAAGAAGCACCGGCUAACUACGUGCCAGCAGCCGCGGUAAUACGUAGGGUGCGAGCGUUGUCCGGAAUUAUUGGGCGUAAAGAGCUUGUAGGCGGUUUGUCGCGUCUGCUGUGAAAGCCCGGGGCUUAACCCCGGGUCUGCAGUGGGUACGGGCAGGCUAGAGUGUGGUAGGGGAGACUGGAAUUCCUGGUGUAGCGGUGGAAUGCGCAGAUAUCAGGAGGAACACCGAUGGCGAAGGCAGGUCUCUGGGCCACUACUGACGCUGAGAA